CAGGGUAGCUUCUAGAAAAGAGAGGGAGGGUCGAGUCCUGUAGCUCGUCCUCCAGCCUCGUCUGAGCUGCUCUGCCGACCCUCCAGCCCGGCAAUGGGGAGGGUGUGGACCCGGCACCGGGGCCAGGGAGGAGCUGGCAGCGUCACACCCUCUGGAAUGCUGCGGCUGCGAGUAACUCGCUCCAGAUUCGCGCAUUCCCGUCAGAACACGAAACCAGAGGAAAAACCCGUGAGGCCCAGAUUGAUCAGCACAGAACUUAGCAACAGCACAACAGGCUGUGGCCAGCCGCCCUGGCCCGCUAGAGGGGCUUUCCGCCAGGCCCGGGGUUGGGGGACUGGGAGCUGGCUCCACCACCCCGACAGGCUUGCAGGGCCCAAAGGCCCCCCACCACGGGCGUCAGGGUGGAGGCACUGGGGCUCCUGCUGGAACCACGGGGCUCCCAGAGAUGGUCUGAAAUCCCGGUCUUCCCCACGCGCUCCCUUCUAUGGGGUCUGAGAGGAGAAUGCUGACGGGCGUCCCCACGCGCAGCCGUGGUUCACUCUGCUGGUUGGGCAGCCAGGAGCUGACAAGGGCAUGGGGGACUUCUGAGUUUCAGAAACAUCCAGAUGGUCCGGCAUUUCUUGCAGCUGCCACCUGGCCUGGUUGAACCUGCUCGUGGCCUGGCGUGGCCUGCUCGUGCAGUGGCGGGGAGUUAGGGCCGACCCUUUCAGCUGGGGGCCUGGAAGAGCCGGUGAAGGGCCAGAGCCUGGGAUCGCAGCAGCCCCACAUCUGCGCGCCUGACUCACGGACUCUGACAUAGUGACGGUUUGUGCAGCUUGCUAAGGAGAGAGCACCCAGGCCUGUCCUCCAAGGGCCCCGUCUGAGGCCCUAUCUCAGAGGUGCGGUAGUAACAGGAUCCCUCUGGAGCCCCAGCCCCCAGAGGGGAGUCCCUGCCCCACCUACCAGUCUGUGGCCCGUGCACAGUUUCUCCUCCCUGAGUGUCACCGCUUCCUCGCCUGUGAGCUGGGAGGACUAAGUGACCAGUGUGGCUCGUUCCUGGCACCACAUACACGGCAGCCCUCAUUCUGGUAAGUGCUUGGUGCUCCUGCCACCCUCCACCCCACUGUAUUGCAGCAAUUCCCAAAGUGGGGUCCCCAUAACCAUAGCAGCGUCACCUGGGAAUCUGCUAGAAACGAAAAUUCCUGGGCAUCAGGAACUCCAGCGUGGGGCCCAGGGGUCUGUGUUUAACAAGCCUGCUGGGGGAUUCGGGUGUCCACUCAUAUUUGGGUACUACACUUAUAGGGCAUCAACCUGACCAUGUCACUUUGCUGUUCUAGAACCUUCCAUGUCUCCCCACGGUCUUCUGGAUAAGGUCCAAGGGCUCUAACCAGCGUUGGAAGCCCUCCCCCGGUGGCCCUGACUGGUGUAGGUGCUCGGCCUGUUUUUCCAGUCAGAUGACACCCUGCUGGAGGGUGUCAGUGACCGGGGUCUCUGUCCUGGGUGCUGGGGCCCCAGUGCAGGAGGCAGGAGAAAAUGAUGGUGUGUGAUGGCUGCGUGUGUGGCUCCCAGUUGGAGUCUAGGCUCAGAGUCUGGCCUCUUCCUGUGUGAGCCAGGCAAGCUGCUUCACUGCUUGGAGCCUCAGUGUCCUCAUCUGUCAAAUGGGCACGAUAAUUAAGCGCCUGCUUAGGUCGCUGUGAGGAUUAAACACCAUCGCCAGGGCAACGUGCUCAGCUGGUGCCUGGCGGGUGCCUCAUAGCAUUGAGGGUCCACAGCCCUUGUCCAGACCCUCAGGCGGGAGCUUUCACAAUUCUGAGUUUUUCAGAUUCUAAAAAGGGAAAUACACCAUAUAUUACACAGCACAUCCAAUGAGAGGUCUUCUAUUAGAAAAACAUAUUGAUGUUUCUGUAUCAAAAUGUAUGAAUAUGCAAAGUAUUGCAAAUGAUAUAGACUAUUAACAAGUAGCUUCUCAUCAGCUCAGGUCAUGCUAAGGCUCUUGGACUUUUCCAGAAGGUGAUGGGGAGCCGUCCAAGGGUUUAGAGCAGAAAAGUGACACGGUCAGGCUGAUGCCCUAAAGAGCAGUGCCCAAACAUGGGCGGGUGCCAGGAUCACCAGAGGGCGUGGUCAACAUAGACCACUGGCCACACACACGGUCACUCAGGCCUCAUGGCGGCUGGUGAGGAAGGCGUGGUCACUCUCCCGUUUUACAGAUCUUUCUGCAGAACACUGAGGCCCAGGAAGGUGAAAUCACUGGCCCCGGUCCUUGCAGCUAAGUGGUGGGCUUGGGACUUGCCAAAUGACUUUUGGGACCAAAUUUAUGAAAAACCUUUUGGUUUUCAGAGAUUAACUGCCCUCCUGCUGGGCUCUGUGAGAGGCCUGUGACAGAGGGAAAGAACACAGGCUUCGGGAUUCAAACCGGUACCAACACUUCUUGGUUGUUUCACCUCAGCCAAGCAACCUUGCCUCUCUCAGCCUCAGUUUCCCCAUCUGCAAAUUGGGAUUAGCAGUUGUCCUUGGGCAGGGUUGAGGGAGGGCAUGCUGAGAUGAAGGGUGCUGGGCACCAGGGGAACCAGGAGGAGCAGCGUGGCUACCGGCUCUGCUCUCCUCUGGGGCACCGGCUGAGCCCUGGGAAUUCCCCAGGCCCCGCCCCCGCCCACACCCCAGCAUGCCUGGGCCUGGGCUCCAGACCAGGAGGAGCGCUUCCAGCCUGUUCUGCCCAAAUAGUGCAGAGCUGGCUCUGUUGGUGGCUCUCUGUGGUGAUGGCACCUGAAUAGGAUGGGGCGAGAAAGCUGCCUCCACACCAGGCACCCGCAGGUGCUCUGCCCGUCCCUGGGACUCUGCAGGAGACAGGCCGGCUCACCCAAGCUGGCAGGGCCACUGCCAUCUGAAGGAGGCCACAGGGCAGCUGGGCCUCGGCACACGAGCCCUCCAGGGAACCCAGCAAACUGGGUGCUUACUGAGCCCAGGUCUGGGCUGCUCUUCCCAUUCCAACCGUGGAAGUGGCCGCAUUUCCAGUCGGGGCACUGACUGUCUCUCUCUCGAAAACUCUUCUUUCAAAGUUCAACAUCUGCUGACCACCACAGCGGAUUGGGGAGCUCGAAGUUUCCAAAACCAGAGGCCUGAGUUCAAACUCCAGCUCGGCGACGGCCAGCUGUGUGAUCUUGGGCAGGUCCUUGGCUCUCCGUGCCUUAGUUUCCUCAGCUGUAAAGGAGCUGCCACCUCUGUCCUUCUAGGGGUCAGAUGGAAACCUCGGAGACGCCCUUGGCUCAGCUUUCUCUCACCCCCACAUCUGAGCUACCAGGAAGUCCAGGCGGCUCGACCUCCUGAUGUUUCCAGAACCCAAUCACAUCUUUCUCCCACCAGCUCUACCCCGCUGCUCAGAGCCACCACGGCCUCACCUCCCUGCUUGCACCCCGGCUCCAUGAUGCUCCUUCUCAGCGCCCUGCAGUGCCUCCCCAUCACUGACGUCACAUGUGUGCCCCGCGCCUCCCCCACCCCUGCCGCCUCCCACCGCUCUCCCCUGCUUGCUCUGGCCGGCCACCCUGGGCUCCCCCUGUCCUGCACAUCCUUCCCUGAUGCAUCGCCCUGGCUGUUCUCUCUGCCUGGAAUGCUCUUCCCUAGAUGCCGGCCUAGCUGGCUCUCUUGCCUUUGCUGGGUCUUUGUUUAAAUGUCCUCCAUCUGACUCCAGUAUUUAAAGGGCGGCCUCUGUCGCCCCAGACCCCCCUGACGCCCGCUUGCCUUGUUUUCCACACGCUCUAAUCGCUGUUUAACACACCCUGUAUGUACUUCAGGUGGCUGUGUCCUCCCGUCACGGAGUGUGCGCUGCAGAGGGCAGGGGAUUUUGUGGUUUUUUCUCUGCUGCGCCCCCAUACCAGAACAGCGUGUGGUCCACAGUAAAUACUUAACUAGCAUUCAGGGCCCACUGCAGGUUUGUCGCGAGGGUAAAUGAGUUCCUGCAGAACACUUGGCGCGCGUGGAGCUCCUGGGAGGAGCUCCGGAGUUCUGCUGCGCUCCUGGGCUUCCGGACCGCUGCUAAGCCGGGGUGUCCAGAGCCGGCCGGCUCUGCCCCUGCCGGACGACGUCCUCUUGUGCACACUCCUGAGGCUGUGAAGGGCCCGGGUGCCCUGGAAAUGCUGAGCAGUGACGGGGUGGAGGAGGGGCCGCAGAUGAGGCCCGAGAGGCCGGGCUGCACGUGCUGAAGCACUGGAACGCAGGGCUAGGGGUCGGGGCUUUCUCUGAGGGCAUGGGGAGCCCCAGGGAGGCCUUGGUUGGGGGCGGGCAGGGGAAGAGGUUGACGACUCUGAGAACCAGGACCUGUGCCCUUCGAGGUCUUAAAGGGGAAGGUCGCUGUGGCAGCAAGGGACUGAGGACGCGCUCUUCCUAAGGGAAGGGUCUUCACUUCAGCCCCCGCCCAUGGCCGGGAGAGCAAGAGGGCCCCCAGGCCCCCCACCCCGUGCCUAGCCCAGGGUUGGGGAGGAGGUGAGUUCCCGUCUCCGGCAGUUUUCCAGCAGCAGUCCUGGGUCACUAGGGAGGAGAGAGAGCGGCUGGACCGUGGGGUUCUCUGACCCGCAGGAGGGGUGCAGAUGGUCUCCCAGUGAUGGGCAGGAGGUGGGCUCAGUGCACUGGGGGCUUCCGGGGAGGGUCUCUUCACCCAUUCCUCCAGCACGUGCUCAGCGAGCACCUCCUCGUGGCCAGGAGGGUGCCGGGCACUGGAUGCACAGUGGGACAAAGAUGAGCAAGGCCCUGGCCCGCCUGGGCUUGACCGUCUGGGGCAGGAGGCAGCAAGCCAACCAAUGAGCCGACAGUAGUGAAUUAGAGUUGUGGGCCCUGCUGCGAAGGGAGUGGGCCUUUCACGGGAGAGACUGAUGCCGACUGGGGAUCUGGGGAAGGCUUCUCAGCAUUCUCAGCGAGGACCGCAUCAAGCCAAUAUCUGAGGUCAGCAGGAGGUCUUCACGCAAAGAGGGAGGGGAAGAGCCUUCCAGGCAGAGGGAACAGCAGGGGCGAGGCUCAGAGGCCACUCCCCACCUAAGGCUGCCCAAGAUGAUGCUGGGUUUUCCAGAACUGGUCAGAACCCGCAUUUGGGGAAUCCACUUUUAAAAGCAAAACUAUUAGAAGGGAGGCCCAAUGUCAUGCUUACUAGGGUCUCCUCUGCCCUUUAAAAAACAAAAGAACGUUUAUCCCCCACCCCUACCGGCUAGGAGAAAAGAGUUUGGCCAAGAAAGGAAGAGAGGUGGAGUCAGCACUUCCUCCUUUGGAGGUGGGAACAAGCUCACCGAAGAACAGAGGGAAAAUUAAUUAAUUAAAGGAUUUCAUGCGUUCAAUAUUUAUUGAUCCCUUACUGUGUGCCCGGCAUCGUCCUAGUGCAGGGCACACAGCUCUGGACAGGACCAAGUCCCCCUUCACAAAGCUUACAGUCUAGCAAGAGAGACAGACAGUUAACAAGUCAGCAAAUAAAAAUAUCACUUCAGGAGUAAAACGAUAAGUGCUAUGAAGAAAAUAAGGUGAGGGUAGAAUAGUUUAGGGGCAGGGUUGGUGGUCAGGUAGGGCCUCUGUGAGAGGAUGAUAUUUGAGCUGUAUAAAAUGAGAGAGGAAGCCUCAGAGGAUGAGAGGUAUUCCACACAGAGGGAACAGCAAGUGCAAAGGCCCUGGGGCGGGGGUGGGGAGGCAGUUUAAUUGGGUUGAGGAGCAGCAAGGAGGCCAGCGUGGCUGCAGUGACAUGAGGGAGCAGACUGGUGGUAGGGAAGAGGGCGGGGAAGCACUGGCAGGCAGGUCAGGCAGGGCAGUCAAGUUCCUCAGGGUGUGGGUAACCCUGUGUUCAGGGCCUAGGGACUGCCACAGAUGUUCCAGCAGGGCUGGGUUCAACCAACUGUCUGCUCUCAGGCACAGACCAGAUGAGAUAGCUGCUCUGUGCAGAGAUGUGGUCCCACAGACCCCACUGUCCCUUCCUCCUACUUUUUUUCUAAGUCUCUCCUUCUAGAAUGUUCCAUUAGUCCAGUUUGGGGUGGCAAUGGUGACUGCGGUGGGGAGGCUGCAGCUGGAGGCCUAACGUCUUCUCCUUCCGGGCACAGCUCUUCUGUUCCCAGUCAAUAUACUGGCCAGAUUGACUUCCUUUCCCCACUGUUCGCUCUGGAUCCUGCUCUCUGCCUGGCCCCGUUGAAAGUCCCCACACCCCAUGCUGGGCCCUCUGGGAGCUCCAGGCCACAUGCUGGUCCCUGCCAGUCUUCUUCUGAGCCACCUUGCUGUCCCCAACCCUGCUUUCCUACCCUUUGCCUUUGGGUCUGGGCUUCCAUUUGCUACCUCAUCUUGGUUGGCUCUUGGCUCUGACCUCGUCAGCUGGUGACAUAUCCCAUCUGAUGGCCAAUUAAUUGAUCUGCAGUUGUAGACGAUGAUGUGUUUGCCCCGUGUUGACACACAUCCCUGUGGCCAGGCCCUCUGUGGGGCGAUGGAGAUGAAAAAGACGUCUGCCCCCAAGGAGCUCCCAGGCGGCAGGGGCGACAGAGCUAUAGAAACUCGGCCGGAGGAGUAACGCCUCCACGCCCACAGCCAUCUUCCUUUGCUGUAUGGUCUAUCAUUUUUCAAGUUUUUAUCUGGAAAAAUUUCAAAUCCACAGAAGAGUUGCAAGAGUGGUUCAAUAACCACCCGUCUGUCUUCACCUAGAGCAGGGGCCCCUCAGCUUCUUGCUCGAAGGGGCGGUUCCGGAGGCAACAGCUAGAGACAGUUUUGGUUAUUACAACUAGGGCCUGCUACUGGCAUCUAGUGGGUAAGGCCAGAGAUGCUGCUAAACAUCCUGCAAUGCACAGCAUGUGGUGACUGUCCCUUACAAUAGGGAAUUUUCUGGUUCUCAUGACAAUGACAAAAAAAUUGUGGUGCUGGAUGUUAACUAAACUUACCUCACAAUGCGUACAUAUAUCAAAUCAUUAUGCUGUACUAAACCAAUACAAUGUACUAAAUGUACUAAAACCAAUACAAUGUCAUAGCGAUAUGAAUAUCAGACAAAUAGACUUUAAGCAAAUAUAUUAAUAGGGAUUAUGAAGGAAAAUACAUAGAACCAAAGGGAAAAUCCUUCAAGAAGCCAUAACAAUCAUAAACGUGUAUGCACCUACAAGCAUAACCUCUAAUAUAUAAAAGGAGAAAUUUACAAAUCCACAGUUAAUUUAGGAUAAUUUUAAUAUAUCUCUCUCACGCAGACAAAAGAGAAAAGAUACAGAUAAUUUCAGCAAGGAAAUAUACGAACUUGUUUAUAUAUACACACCAGCAGACACUGACGGGGUCCCCUCUAGGACCACGUGGUACCAAAUCUCAUAGUAUCGGGUGGUUAUCCCCAAUAGCCCUGGAGAUUACAUCAUUACAACAAAGUGAUGAACUUGGAAUUGCUGUAUCCAAAUCUAGAAAACAAAAGGGAGAGAGAAAUUUCUGGUCCAAAAUGUCAGUGAUAACCAGGUUGAGAAGUCCUGCUCUAAACUGACGGGUGGGAAAUGUUUUGACUCAGGUGCUUCAAUCUCUCUCUCUCUCUCUAUUUCUUCUUCUUCUUCUUCUUCUUUUUUUUGAGGAAGAUUAGCCCUGAGCUAACACCUGCCACCAAUCCUCCUCUUUUUUUUUUGCUGAGGAAGACUGGCCCUGAGCUAACACCUGUGCCCGUCUUCCUCUAUUUUAUGUGGGACACCUGCCACAGCAUGGCUUGCCAAGCGGUGGGUAGGUCCGCACCCAGGAUCUGAACCAGCAAACCCUGGGCUGCUGAAGCAGAAUGUGUGAACUUAACCGCUGCGCCACAGGGCUGGCCCCAUAUUUCUUCUUCUUAUUAUUUUUAUUUUGUUUAGCCCUUUGGGAGUACAUUGUAGACAUCGUGACUCUUUGCCCCUAAAUACCUCAGUACCCCCUGUAUAAUCACAGUACACAUUUGAUACAGUACAAUUAUCUUGUGUACAAUUUAUGUUCAGAUGUUGCCCAUUGUCCCGAUAGUACCGUGGCAGUGUUUUUUUCCCCCAUCUGAAAUGCAGCCCAGGAUUAAGCCCGCAUUCAGUUGUCCUGUCUCUUUUCUCUCCUCUAAUCUGGAACAGUUACUUCCCCAGCCCUCUGUGUCUUUCGCGACCUUGACAUUUCUGCAGAACACAGGCCCAUUGUUUUGUCGAGCGUCCUUGUCCUUGGAUGUGGUUUGUCGGGUUGCUUCCUCAUGAUCAGCUCCAGGUCCUGCGUUUUUGGCAGGAAAGUCUGGCAGCGCCGCCAAGGUCUCAGUGCUCACGUCGAGAGGCACGUGACAUCCGAUGGUUCCAAAUGUUCUCUUUGCUGAACUGGUAUCUGCCAGAUUUCUCCACUGUGAAGUACGCUUUCCCUUCGGGGAUUAAUAAGUAACAUGGAAACGGGUGCUUUGAGCCCGAGGACAUUCCUGCCCACCCACAACGGACUUCUCCCCGCUGAUGCUUCUCACCUAAAUCAGGUUUUACUCUCAUGGAGCCAAAUGAUUUUCUAACUCCAUCAUUCCUUGAGGCUUCUGACUUGACGAUUCCUCCACACCCACCGGUGACAAUGAAUGCGUUUUUCCUACGACAGUAGUCAGGUUGUUCCCACAUCUUGGCUGUCGUGAAUAGUGCUACAGCGAACAUCAAACUAAAAAGCUUCCACCCAGCAAAGGAGACAAUCAACAGAGUGAAAAGGCAACUACAGAGUGGGAGAAGAUAUUUACCAACCAUGUGUCUGAUAAGGGGUAUAUAGCCAAAGUAAUAAGGAACUCCUACAACUCCACAGCAAAAAAUUGAAUAACUCAAUUGAAAAAUGGACUAAGGACUUGAAUUUUUCCAAAGGAGACACACAAAUGGCCAACAGGUACAUGAAAAGAUGCUCAACGUCACUGAUCAUCAGGGAAAUGCAAAUCAAAACCUUAUACCUGUGAGGAUGGUUGUUACCAAAAAAACAAAGACAAGUGUUGGUGAGGAUGUAGAGAAAUUGAAACCCUCGCACACUGUUGAUGGGGAUGCAAAAAGAUGCGGUCGCUAUGGAAGAUAGUAUGGAGGCUCCUCAAGAAGUUAAAAGUUGACUACCAUAUGAUCCAGCCACCCCACUUCUGGGUACUUAUCCGCAAGAGCUGAAACCAAGCUUUCUUUUGCAGUGGGCAGUACUCUCCUUCCCCAGGUGCCCACUGUCCAGAGGUCCCUGCCUUUCUCUUGCACUCCCUGCCUCGGGCCUGGGGCCUUUGCUGGGGUGCUCAGGAGCUUCUGAGGGUGGGAUUAACAGGCACUGAAGCUCGGUCACCUCCACAACUUCUAAAUUGGGUUUCUCACCAACGAUGUGAAGAUUUCAUGGAACAAGGGGCCUCUGCCGCCACCUGCUGGGCACCUGGGGAAAGGGCUCUUACGCCCCAAGGAGCCCUUCCUGCUGUCUGGGCAUUUAUAAAUGCAUGCCAGCAAUAGCAAUAACAAUAGCUGUGAUUUAUUAAAUGAUUGUCAGACAUUGUACCAAGUGCUUUCAAGACACGAUGUCUUAAUCUCCAACAGCCUUGAAAUGUGGCUGCCUUCUCCUCAUGUAUUUAUAUAGAGAGAUGAGGAAGCAUGCUCAGCAAGAGAAAGAAUGGUCAACAUCACACGGCCAGCGACUGGCCAGUGGAUUCGAACCCAGGUCUGUCUGGCCCCAAAGUGGGGCUGAGCAGCGUCCUGGAGAAAGGCAGAGAGGGAGCGAGAGGGUGGGCAGGAGAGGCUGGAGGGCUGUAGAAGGUUCUGGAAACUACUCCUGGUGACCUUCCCGGGAAGGUCCACUCACAGCUACUCCCUCUCUGGAUGCCCAGGGCCUUGCUCUGAGUCCUCCUCAGCACAUCCUUCUGCCCACCUUGGGCGUGCACUCCCUCACCCAGCAUCACAGCUGGGGAAACUGAGGCUCCAGAGGUGGAGAAUCUAGACCAUGGAUUCCAGAGAGUGUGGGGCAGAGGGGAGACUGAUCCCAGGCCCUGAGCCCAGUGCUGGGGGGAUCCAAGUGAACAACGAGAAACAGGGAAGGCGACCUGAGCCCAAGUUUCUGUCCACGUCAACUCCUCACGAUCCGGGGCCCACAGGGCAGGUGGGCAUAGGGGCUGGGAGACCCUCUGUGGGAUAGAUUCCCGGUGCGCACUCUGAAUGAUGGCCUUGCCACCGUCAAGGGCCCCGCCUGUCCGUCAGGAGGCCUCUCCAAGGGAGGGCCUGCCACGAUGUCGGAGCAGCACUCUUUUCUGGCUCUGCCACUUCCCAGCUCUGAGAUCUUGGGCAACUUCCUUCAGCUUUCCGAGCCUCAGUUUACCCUUCUGUAAAAUGGGACUAAUCGCAGUCUCUACCUCUUCGAGCUGGAUUGGGAACCAAGUGACAACCCAUACCUAAAGCCCUGAGUGCUCAGGAAGCACUUGAUAAAUGGCAUCACUAGGGACCCCCACAGACACACACUAGCCAGGCCUCAAUGCCUCUGCCAGGCUGAGAAGCAGGCGUUGUGGGAUGCCUCUGCAGGGGAAACUGAGUCACUAGGUCAGGAAGUGCCUGGGCCUAGGCUUCAGCUUGAGUCACAGGCCUAAUGCUGGGAAACCUCCCUGCAGCCACCUCCAGAAAUGCUUCGUGCCUCUGUCUGGCAGCCUCAGAGCCUCCACCCCGUGUCACCAGCCAGGGGACCUUCCCCCAAGGAGCCCCCCGCAGCCAGGCAGGCUCAGCCCUGCAAGAUGUAUCCGAUGGACGAAGGACGCUGAGAUGCACAUAUAUCCCUGCUCGACAGGCGAGGGAACUGAGGCUAGGAGGGGCAGGUGAUGCGCCCGCCGGCACAGCGGUGUGGGGGUAGGACCCUGACUCGACCCCAGGGCGUUCAUCAGAGGAAGCUCGGUGGCUGGGCUCCCUCAGGGCUGAUUUACAACCCCAGCUCAGGCCUGGGAUCAAAGUUGGUUUGCAGGAAGCCCUUCCCAUCCCGACUUCCCCGGGACCGGGACACGCUUUGACGUCAGCACGUCCACAUUCCUGCCCUCGGGCCCCAGGGUGGGGGCACCGACUUCCUCCCUCCAGCGUUGGCGUCGCAAACAGGAAGCUGGGUCACGAGGGCGGUCCCGCCAGGGCGCCCGGAGGAGGGGGUGGGAGGCCAGGCCAGGCGGCGGUCCCAGCGCUGGACCACCUGGCGCAGGGCACGGGGACGGCCGGGUCGUGUUAUAAGGCGCCCCUGUGCUCCGGGGCCCGUACAGAGGGCCUUCAAGGCUUCAUCCCUUUGGUCUUCACAAACGACACGCUCACGGAUCACGAUUUCUCUCUCGGACUGACAGCAAUGCCUACCGUGGGCCGAGCGCUCCCUCCAGGCGUGCGCUUCACACGGGUCCUCUCAUUUAAUCCUUAUAAACACCCCUCUUAUCGUCUGUUAACAGAUGAGGAAACUGAGGCACUGCAGGCUAAGUCAGUCUCCAAUGUCCCGCGGCUGUGGGGAGUGGGUGGGGACUCGGACCCAGCGUCUGCCGGGAGCCCCGUCCCCGCCCUCUCGGCCCUUGCUCCGCGUGCUGGAAACUGCAAAUCCGACCACGUCUCUCCCUCCUCACCCUUCCAUGGCUCCCCUCUACCCGGGGACGGCGGUCAGCCUUUCUCACAGGGAUCUGAAGGGACCCGCGCUGCCCUGCGGACGGAAGGACAUUACCCCCGAUGGCAUCGCUGAUGCUACAAAACCAACAGCCUUGUCUGGGUCAAUCAAGGUUGACCUCGAGAUUAGGACUCUUUGGGUCUGUUA
rnacentral:lncRNA from 1 species